rnacentral:rRNA from 1 species
AUUGAACGCUAGCGGGAUGCCUUACACAUGCAAGUCGAACGGAGUGGCGAACGGGUGCGUAAUGUAUCGGAACGUGCCCAGUAGCGGGGGAUAACUACGCGAAAGCGUAGCUAAUACCGCAUACUAUUGGAGCGGCCGAUAUCGGAUUAGCUAGGUGGUGGGGUAACGGCUCACCAAGGGGACGAUCCGUAGCUGUUUUGGGAGGAAUACCAUCCACACUGUGACUGAGACACGGCCCAGACUCCGACGGGAGGCAGCAGUGGUGACUUUUGGACAAUGGGGGAAAGCCGGAUCCAGCCACCCCGCGUGGUCGAUGAAUGCCUUCGGGUUGUAAAGCACGUUUGGCAGGAAAGCGGUACCUGCAGAAUAAGCACCGGCUAACUACGUGCCAGCAGCCGCGGUAAUAC